GACGAACGCUGGCGGCAUGCCUAAUACAUGCAAGUCGAGCGAACAGAUGAAGUGCUUGCACUUCUGACGUUAGCGGCGAACGGGUGAGUAACACGUAAGGAAUCUACCUAUAAGCGGGGGAUAACAUUCGGAAACGGGUGCUAAUACCGCAUAAUAUCUUCUUCCGCAUGGAAGAAGAUUGAAAGACGGCUCUGCUGUCACUUAUAGAUGACCUUGCGGUGCAUUAGUUAGUUGGUGGGGUAACGGCCUACCAAGACGAUGAUGCAUAGCCGACCUGGGAGGGUGAGCGGCCACAUUGGGACUGACACACGGCCCAAACUCCUACGGGAAGCAGCAGUAGGGAAUCUUCCGCAAUGGGCGAAAGCCUGACGGAGCAAUGCCUCGUGAGUGAAGAAGGCCUUCGGGUCGUAAAACUCUGUUAUAAGAGAAGAACAAAUUGUAGAGUAACUGCUACAGUCUUGACGGUAUCUUAUCAGAAAGCCACGGCUAACUACGUGCCAGCCGCCGCGGUAA
rnacentral:rRNA from 1 species